CUCCCACACCCAGCACUCCCUCUCGCACCCCAACCCCCUGCCCCAGCCCUACGUUCAUGGCCCUGCAAGCAAUUUCCCCACCCAGAUGUGGCCCUCGGGCCAAAAAAGUUUGCCCACCCCUGCAAUAGACCCUUUAGAUGGAGGUUCCUCAGUGCCUAGGGAUCUUGACUCAGCAGUUAGUACCACCCAAGGCUAUUACAACUUCUCAGGUGAUUCCUAUCAGGCUUGGUGUCUCCCUGCACCAACUCUGCAGAGGCUACCCCUCCCCUCAAGGAUCUCCUGAAUAAUCACUGCGGAUGGACAUCAUUUGAAGGGGUUUUAUUUGUUUGUUGCUGAUGGCAGAAGUACUGCAGAGAAAGAAAAAUAACCUCUGCACAGAGAUGAUGUCCUGUAACAUGGGGGUUUCCUGUUUUAUGGAAGUUAGGGAAUAAUUGUUCAGCAGCAAACAGCCUGAUUUCUUACAUAUGAAAACUCAAGUAGAAGUUGUAAAAAGUUUUAAUUUGAUACUUUUGGGCCUCACUAAAUAAACUAUAUGUGAUGGAGGAGUUUACAAAAAUAUGUAAUUUUAAGAGACACUGAGAAGCAGCAGAUAAUGAGCUUUUUCCCCAAAAUGGCAGUUACACCUUUAAAAUGCAUCUCACAUACUGUUUGUUGUGUCUGUCUCAGACAAGAAGACAUUUUCCUUGAAAUCAUAUUUUCCUUUUAUGACAUGCAAUUGUCCUCUGUUGACGUGUCCCUCUAUGGGGGAGCUUCCAGAGUUGUACAUAGCAAUUAACAAAGUCGUAUUUUGAGAUUAAAACGUCCUGCUACAUAGGAACACUACCCUCCCCCAUACUCCUACAAGGCUGGAUCCCAUUUCCUCUCUCUUCAAAGAUGUUGAGUAGGAAAAUGAUGUCACGUAGUUUGGUAGUUUCCCUAUCUCUGAAAUCUUUGAUAGUUCUUACAAGUCUAAGAGAAAAAUAAUGAAGUAAAAAAGUAAGUAAGCUUUCUUAUUUGGUCUGGGGAAUGAAGCUGAAGAGAAGAGGUCAUUUUAGGCCUCAGUGUUUAUACUGCAUACUUUGUUCCUGGGAUAUGAUGCACAAAUUAUUUUUAUUAUUGGUAUUGUGAUAAUGACAGGAAGCCCCAGCCAGGGAGCAGGACCCCAUUGUGCUAGGCACAAUACAAGCAUUUAACUAAUAAUUGCAACACCCCUGUGGUGUAGAUCGUUUCCUAGCUGGGGAAACUGAGGCACGCAGACCCAAAUUCAAUACUGGCAUAAGUGGAUGCAAUUCUAAAUUUGGUCCAGAGUGGGUUAAGUGACUUGUCUAAGCCCACACAGAAUUAAAGUCUGGGAGCUGGUGGUACCUAGUUUCUUGUUAAAUCUAGACAGCACAGUCUCUUCUGUGUAGUUAAAGGGUAAGUCUUGUGGACAGUGCUCACUGGGUACAGAAUGGGGUAACUGUAACUGCAGGAAAUCAAGAAGAAAAACACAUGGAAAUGUUAAAAGCAAGCCUUCCCUCCUGCCUCUCCCGAUGUCCUCUCUGUCCUGGUAUGCUCCGGAAUGAAAUAAAAGAGGUGGUGGCACAUCAAACCGAUGCACACUGGCUCCAGUCCAGCAGCUCAUGUUCCUGGCAGGCACUGCUGAGCAUCUUGCAAAAUGUGUUCCUGUGCAUACGUGCUGAAGCCAAGUGGCUGACUUCCUAAAGUGUGGUGCAUAUUGCAUAUUAGAGAGCAGGAUCAAACGCUUAGAGCAGCCGCAGUAUGUAGCUCUAUUUGGGAAAUGGAACAAAAGGAUCCUUUAAAAUGGCCGUUAAAAAUAGAAAACAGUUAGUAUGGAAAUCUCAGACAGAAAGCUGCCUUCAGGAAUGCUCUAUUAAGGAAAAAUUCUAGAUUGUGAAGAGUGAAUGAGUUAGAAAGCAAAAGUAACAACAUUGCAAGCCUGAGGUGUUGAGCAUCUGCCACUCUUACUGACUGCAAUGGGUGCUGGAGCAGGGCCUUAAUGUGGUAUGGAUUAUAGAUGGGCCGACUGUCCAGAAUUUUAGGCUUUGCAAGCCCCUCAGACUGUUUUUUGGUUUGGAAAAAUCAUCUGAAUCUGUGACAUUCCCCCACCCUCCCUUUAAAUUAAACACAUGCCAGGAAAAAAAAUGUAAAGGGGAGUCUGUGUUCUCAGGGACAGAAGAACCGCUACAUUCAGUGCACCAGUGGGUGUUUUGUGGGUGUUAUUUUUUAAACAAGUUUUAUUAAUCUCGGUUUCCCAUUUCAGCCUUUUUUGCACAGUUUCAUGUUUGUUUUUCCUUUUGCCCCGCACCCUGCUCCCUUUUUCAUAGUCUCUCAGAAGGGGUAGGUGAAUCCAAUAGGAUCUGAGUACAAGUCAAACAUUAAAACCUAUAGUAUCUGAAUAGGUUCAAAUUUUUGCAAAAUGAGUUAGUUCAUGCCAAGUGUAGCUUUUAUUCAGGCCUGCACUGCUUGUCAUGACCAGUGAUUGUCAAUGUAAUGUAACAGGCAGCAUGAUCUUCUAGUGGAUUUUGUGCCCAGUCAUGACAUUUAGGAACUCCUGAAUUUGAAUGAUGGCUCUGAUCUGAGUCACUGUGUAGCUUUAGGCAAGUCACUUAGGGUUAAAUUCUCAAGUGUUCACUAAUUUGGGGUGUGUCUGUUGUAAGGGGACCAUUUGGAGAGACAGUGGUGUCUCAAGUUUAAACUGAAACACUCAGUAUUAGUGGACACUUGAAAAUAUAAGCCUUCCCUAGUCUGUAUCUCAGCUUCCCCAUCUAUAAAAUCGAGUUUACAGUACUUAUAUAGCUACUUCACAGGAGUGUUGUGAGGACUGUUUAAUAUCGGUGUUGGUACAUGCUGUAAUUGCUAGAGGGUGGCAUAAUAUGUAUGAUCUAAUUCAUCACUUCCUGAAUCUGAACAUUGGCUUUCUUCUACUCUUGGACCCAAUUUUAUUUAUUUCUGUUGUUGUUAUGUUCUGGGUUACCUGGAGUUGGAGAAGGAUGUUGGGCGCCUUAGUAAGAUAGAUAAUUGUGGUACUUUUGCUUGCAGAGAAAAUAUUCAUUCAUCACUUUCCCUGCAUCUCCAGCUCUCUCUUCUACCUGAUGUUUUAGAGCUUCUCAAUACAGAGACUAGCACAUUACUACUUAGGCAGUAGUAAACGCUGUAUAUUUUGGGAGCUAUAGAUUUUUCUUGGGUCCGCGUCCUUCAUUAUUAUGAUAAUGAUAAAAUCUUGAUUUCUUUCUUGCUGAUUUUUGGUCUUUCCUAUAUGAUUCUCAAUGAUGAUGUGAGAAACAGUAUCUUGGAAAGUUUGGAAGUAGAGAUGGGGGAGAGAUGGACUGACUGGGCCAGGAGACUGGGAACAGGAAGAUGGGAGGGGAAGAAUUGGGAGUCUGAGGGGAGAGGAGGAAGACUGAUUAAGAGUUUAGGGGGGUUGUGGGAGGGUUCUGGGAGCCAGGGGGAGACAGUCUGGGGCUGGCUAGUCAAGGACACUUGGAAUUGGGGGAAGACAGAUAAAUUGAGGAGCUUAGGGUGGGGGGGAAUAUGGGGCAGCUGGGCAAGAAGACUGGGAGCCUGUGUGGGAAAUGACAGAUCAGAUGUGGAGACUGACUCAAGGUGGAAACUAAGACUAGCAGGGCAAUGAGACUAGAAUUGGGAUGAAGACUAGGGCUGGGUAGGCAAGGAGAAUGGGAUGAGGAGGCAGGGGUGGGGAACACAGGACUGGUUGAAGGGAAUGGGUCAGAAGGGGUCAUACUUGGGGACAACGGUCAGAGGUGACUGUGCCCACUAGAGAACACUCCCUUCCAAAGCCUGGAACGGAACCCAAGAUUCCUGAGUCUCCUCAUUCUUCUGUCAGCAAAUAGCUGUGAAACCCACUGGCAAAGGAUGCUUCUUAUCCCACUCUAGUGGCUGGUCCACAGAGAGGGUGACAACCUACCACUGCUAUGAGUUACUCUGUUAGAAGAACUGGCAGAGGCAGAGGUCUGUGCUGUGGAUCCAAAGGACACCCUGCUGACAGCCAAGUGGGAGUCAGACCCUUGCCUCAUUCACAGGAAGAACCUUCUCUGGCGUUGUGUAGUAAAGGAAUAUGUCUGUAGGACUGCUGCUUCAUUUGUUGCAAAAGUUCAAAGGUGUGUAAUACAUGAUGCAGGGGAUUACGGGAAGAGAAAAGGUGGUCUCAUGUAGGCAGUUGAAUGCUGCUCUGGAGAAUUGGAUUCUAUACGUUCUUCUCCUAGAGUUCCGAUGUGAUGCGCUUAAACCAUACUUUUCAUAGGCGGUCACUAAUUGUGCGUUCCUCAUUGCUGGGUGCCAGAUAUGAGACCUGUCUGGCAUGAGGUCAGAUCUGCAGAAGUGCUGAGCACUCACAACUGCGACUGAAGUCCAUGGAAGCUGCGCUUCCAUUGGGAAUUCAGCACCUAAAUAUCUUUGAGGAUUUGGAUCUAGGUGACAGAUUGGGAACCCAGAGUUAGUGGAUACUUUUGACCUUACUCUCUCUAUGCCUCAGCUUCCCACCUGUAAAUAGCACCCUCUCACCUUACAGGGGAGUUGUGAAGAUAAUUAAUUAGUGUAAGCACUUAGAUACCAUAGUGAUGAGCACCAUAGAAAAGACCGUGAGGAAAUCCAUAAUUCUGUGUACAGAGCCAAGUUUGAAUAGUGUGCAGUAAAUAAGUCCUGGUGCCACACACACGACGAGGAUAAAAAAAAUACCGAUAGCUGCUGCUCCUCGUUAAGUGAGCACCGUGAAUCCUGUGCUCUGAAUGAGGCAGGGGUCCUGUGUGGGAAAAAUAGUAUGUGAUCAUGUAAUUAAAGACUGUCCUAAUGCAUGAGCAAAAUCGGACAUUUCCUAACUUUUCAGUGCCCAACUUUGCAACUUUAAUAAUGUUCUUUUGACACAGUUUGUGUGUAUAAUCAUUACACUUCAUUAUGUCACUGUACCUAAUACAUACAAAGAUUAACCUU